ACGGAAGGCAGCAGUGGGGAAUAUUGCACAAUGGGCGAAAGCCUGAUGCAGCGACGCCGCGUGAGUGAAGAAGUAUCUCGGUAUGUAAAGCUCUAUCAGCAGGGAAGAAAAUGACGGUACCUGACUAAGAAGCCCCGGCUAACUACGUGCCAGCAGCCGCGGUAAUACGUAGGGGGCAAGCGUUAUCCGGAUUUACUGGGUGUAAAGGGAGCGUAGACGGUUUGGCAAGUCUGAAGUGAAAUGCGGGGGCUCAACUCCUGAACUGCUUUGGAAACUGUCGAACUAGAGGGCAGGAGAGGUAAGUGGAAUUCCUAGUGUAGCGGUGAAAUGCGUAGAUAUUAGGAGGAACACCAGUGGCGAAGGCGGCUUACUGGACUGUAACUGACGUUGAGGCUCGAAAGCGUGGGGAGCAAACAGGAUUAGAUACCCUGGUA
rnacentral:rRNA from 2 species